CAGGGCUCAAAGGAAGUUGGGAUCCCUUCUGAGUUGUUCCUGCCGGAGUGGGUGGCCCUGGACCUCAAUACAGAGAGUGUCAACGAGCUCACUCAGAAGAUGGACUCCGACGAGGCAACGCUGGCAGACAUCGCCAGCA